rnacentral:ncRNA from 1 species
CAAUCCAGAGCGCCCGAGAGAACUGGCUCGUAGACGGCGCGGCAACCGGACUUCAUUACGUCACGGUGCCAAGGCCAGCCCAACGGCGCGUUAACGAUGACUG